UGUAUGGACCCCUGCUUUACUGCUGGUUCAUGUCCCCGGAUGUCUGCUUGUGCUGUUUCUUCUGCCUGGCAUGCUCUCCCCUGAGACUCCCACCCUUCCACUUGGACAAUCGAACUCGACAGUUAAAGAACCAACUCAGGGAUGCUUCUGAGAUGCUGCUUCAUCUGAGAAAGGAGAAGACAUCACGAUAAUUGACAUUCUGG
rnacentral:lncRNA from 10 species